rnacentral:rRNA from 1 species
AGCAGCCGCGGUAAUUCCAGCUCCAAUAGCGUAUAUUAAAGUUGUUGCAGUUAAAAAGCUCGUAGUUGAAUUUCGGAAUCUGUCCGUCGGUCGGGCUUCACAGUCCGUACUGGUGUGGUGGGUUCUUACCUUCUGAAUAACCAGCAUGCCAUUCACUUGGUGCGUUGGGGAAGCAGGACUAUUACCUUGAAAAAAUUAGAGUGCUCAAAGCAGGCUAGUGCCUGAAUACAUUAGCAUGGAAUAAUAAAAUAGGACGGCAUGGUUCUAUUUUGUUGGUUUCUAGGAUCACCGUAAUGAUUAAUAGGGAUAGUUGGGGGCAUUAGUAUUCAAUUGUCAGAGGUGAAAUUCUUGGGUUUAUUGAAGACUAACUUCUGCGAAAGCAUUUGCCAAGGAUGUUUUCAUUAAUCAAGAACGAAAGUUAGGGGAUCGAAGACGAUCAGAUACCGUCGUAGUCUUAACCAUAAACUAUGCCGACUAGGGAUCGGACGAUGUUAAUUUUUAAUGACUCGUUCGG